CUUGUAGCUCAGUUGGAUAGAGCGACCGCCUCCUAAGCGGUAGGUCGCGGGUUCGAAUCCCGCCUCGUGC
rnacentral:tRNA from 1 species